rnacentral:misc_RNA from 1 species
GAUGAAGAACGUAGCGAAAUGCGAUAAGUAAUGUGAAUUGCAGAAUUCAGUGAAUCAUCGAAUCUUUGAACGCACAUUGCGCCCGCCAGCAUUCUGGCGGGCAUGCCUGUUCGAGCGUCAUUUCAACCCUCGAGCCCCCCCGGGGGCCUCGGUGUUGGGGGACGGCACACCAGCCGCCCCCGAAAUGCAGUGGCGACCCCGCCGCAGCCUCCCCUGCGUAGUAGCACACACCUCGCACCGGAGCGCGGAGGCGGUCACGCCGUAAAACGCCCAACUUUCUUAGAGUUGACCUCGGAUCAGGUAUGAAUACCCGCUGAACUUAAGCAUAUCAAUAAGCGGAGGA